rnacentral:rRNA from 1 species
AUUGAACGCUGGCGGCAUGCUUUACACAUGCAAGUCGAACGGUAACAGGCCUUCGGGUGCUGACGAGUGGCGAACGGGUGAGUAAUGCAUCGGAACGUGCCCAGAGGUGGGGGAUAACGCAGCGAAAGCUGUGCUAAUACCGCAUGUGAUCUGAGGAUGAAAGCGGGGGACCAAGCAGCAAUGUUUGGCCUCGCGCCUCUGGAGCGGCCGAUGUCAGAUUAGGUAGUUGGUGGGGUAAAGGCCUACCAAGCCGACGAUCUGUAGCUGGUCUGAGAGGACGACAGGCCACACUGGGACUGAGACACGGCCCAGACUCCUACGGGAGGCAGCAGUGGGGAAUUUUGGACAAUGGGCGCAAGCCUGAUCCAGCAAUGCCGCGUGCGGGAAGAAGGCCUUCGGGUUGUAAACCGCUUUUGUACGGAGCGAAAAGGCUCUGGCUAAUACCUGGGGCUGAUGACGGUACCGUAAGAAUAAGCACCGGCUAACUACGUG